GAUGAACGCUGGCGGCGUGCCUAAUACAUGCAAGUCGAGCGAACGGACGAGAAGCUUGCUUCUCUGAUGUUAGCGGCGGACGGGUGAGUAACACGUGGAUAACCUACCUAUAAGACUGGGAUAACUUCGGGAAACCGGAGCCAAUACCGGAUAAUAUUUUGAACCGCAUGGUUCAAAAAUGAAAGACGGUCUUGCUGUCACUUAUAGAUGGAUCCGCGCUGCAUUAGCUAGUUGGUAAGGUAACGGCUUACCAAGGCAACGAUGCAUAGCCGACCUGAGAGGGUGAUCGGCCACACUGGAACUGAGACACGGUCCAGACUCCUACGGGAGGCAGCAGUAGGGAAUCUUCCGCAAUGGGCGAAAGCCUGACGGAGCAACGCCGCGUGAGUGAUAAAGGUCUUCGGAUCGUAAAACUCUGUUAUUAGGGAAGAACAUUUGUGUAAGUAACUGUGCACAUCUUGACGGUACCUAAUCAGAAAGCCACGGCUAACUACGUG
rnacentral:rRNA from 1 species